rnacentral:rRNA from 1 species
AGAGUUUGAUCCUGGCUCAGGACGAACGCUGGCGGCGUGCCUAAUACAUGCAAGUCGAGCGAGCGGAACUAACAGAUUUACUUCGGUAAUGACGUUAGGAAAGCGAGCGGCGGAUGGGUGAGUAACACGUGGGGAACCUGCCCCAUAGUCUGGGAUACCACUUGGAAACAGGUGCUAAUACCGGAUAAGAAAGCAGAUCGCAUGAUCAGCUUUUAAAAGGCGGCGUAAGCUGUCGCUAUGGGAUGGCCCCGCGGUGCAUUAGCUAGUUGGUAAGGUAAAGGCUUACCAAGGCGAUGAUGCAUAGCCGAGUUGAGAGACUGAUCGGCCACAUUGGGACUGAGACACGGCCCAAACUCCUACGGGAGGCAGCAGUAGGGAAUCUUCCACAAUGGACGCAAGUCUGAUGGAGCAACGCCGCGUGAGUGAAGAAGGUUUUCGGAUCGUAAAGCUCUGUUGUUGGUGAAGAAGGAUAGAGGUAGUAACUGGCCUUUAUUUGACGGUAAUCAACCAGAAAGUCACGGCUAACUACGUGCCAGCAGCCGCGGUAAUACGUAGGUGGCAAGCGUUUCUCCGGAUUUAUUGGGCGUAAAGCGAGCGCAGGCGGAAGAAUAAGUCUGAUGUGAAAGCCCUCGGCUUAACCGAGGAACUGCAUCGGAAACUGUUUUUCUUGAGUGCAGAAGAGGAGAGUGGAACUCCAUGUGUAGCGGUGGAAUGCGUAGAUAUAUGGAAGAACACCAGUGGCGAAGGCGGCUCUCUGGUCUGCAACUGACGCUGAGGCUCGAAAGCAUGGGUAGCGAACAGGAUUAGAUACCCUGGUAGUCCAUGCCGUAAACGAUGAGUGCUAAGUGUUGGGAGGUUUCCGCCUCUCAGUGCUGCAGCUAACGCAUUAAGCACUCCGCCUGGGGAGUACGACCGCAAGGUUGAAACUCAAAGGAAUUGACGGGGGCCCGCACAAGCGGUGGAGCAUGUGGUUUAAUUCGAAGCAACGCGAAGAACCUUACCAGGUCUUGACAUCUAGUGCCAUUUGUAGAGAUACAAAGUUCCCUUCGGGGACGCUAAGACAGGUGGUGCAUGGCUGUCGUCAGCUCGUGUCGUGAGAUGUUGGGUUAAGUCCCGCAACGAGCGCAACCCUUGUUAUUAGUUGCCAGCAUUAAGUUGGGCACUCUAAUGAGACUGCCGGUGACAAACCGGAGGAAGGUGGGGAUGACGUCAAGUCAUCAUGCCCCUUAUGACCUGGGCUACACACGUGCUACAAUGGGCAGUACAACGAGAAGCGAGCCUGCGAAGGCAAGCGAAUCUCUGAAAGCUGUUCUCAGUUCGGACUGCAGUCUGCAACUCGACUGCACGAAGCUGGAAUCGCUAGUAAUCGCGGAUCAGCACGCCGCGGUGAAUACGUUCCCGGGCCUUGUACACACCGCCCGUCACACCAUGGGAGUCUGCAAUGCCCAAAGCCGGUGGCCUAACCUUCGGGAAGGAGCCGUCUAAGGCAGGGCAGAUGACUGGGGUGAAGUCGUAACAAGGUAGCCGUAGGAGAACCUGCGGCUGGAUCACCUCCUU